GAAAUGCGAUACUUAGUGUGAAUUGCAGAAUUCCGUGAAUCAUCGAGACCUUGAACGCAAAUUGCGCUUGUGGGUAUUCCUGCAAGCAUGCUUGUUUGAGUGUCAUUAAUACUUCUCACUCAAACCACACCUUGUGUGUGGAGAGAGUGGUUAUGAGUAUCAGACACCUGUGUCUGUUGCUUGAAAUAUUGCAGAGUGAUUCAAUAACUGCUUGUCAGUUCUCUACUCUCAUAACCAGUGCUUUAAUCGGUCUUGUACCGACUGCCUCUGGUGGAGAGCAUAACUAACAUCGGCUAUUGGUAUUGUCCCUCUGAUUGAAGGACUUCAAAACCUUCUCUUAUCUCACAUCUGUGACCUCAAAUCAAGUAAGGCUACCCGCUGAACUUAA
rnacentral:misc_RNA from 1 species